UACGUAGGGGGCUAGCGUUGUCCGGAAUCAUUGGGCGUAAAGCGCGUGUAGGCGGUCCGGUAAGUCCGCUGUGAAAGUCGGGGGCUCAACCCUCGGAUGCCGGUGGAUACUGUCGGGCUUGAGUACGGAAGAGGCGAGUGGAAUUCCUGGUGUAGCGGUGAAAUGCGCAGAUAUCAGGAGGAACACCCGUGGCGAAGGCGGCUCUCUGGGUCGGACCUGACGCUGAGGCGCGAAAGCGUGGGGAGCGAACGGG
rnacentral:rRNA from 1 species